rnacentral:lncRNA from 1 species
ACUGGUCCCACGCCUCGCUCGUACCCCCUGUAAGGAAGACAAAUGGCGUGGAAUGAGCUAAAAGCCCAGUGAGGUUCCAAAUAGCAAAUCGACCAUUGUUUAUCAGUACAAGAUUCAAUGUAGUAACGAAUGAGUAUGAAAAGUUCAUAAAAUUGAGCAAUAACACUUCAAGUAGCAAAUCUUAAAAUGAGCGAGUGUAAAGUUUAAAAACGAAACAAUAAUACGAUAACUACUAAUCAUUCCAAGUAUAAGGAUACGGAUGGCUCUCAGGAGCCAAAUUCCCAUUGCAUCACCAGAGCUUGAUCAAGUAAUAGUUGAUACUCCGUCAACUUUCAAGUAACCAAUCCCAUAGAGCAUCACUUAAACUACUCUCCGUCCACCAUCCAAACCCCCUACUGGGCCCAAAAUCCUCAAUAAACACGGGUGGUAAUAUUCGAGUAUACCGAUUAGUCGAGAAAAUAUCACUCCACACGACAAAACAAAAGACCCAGGAUUCGUUACCCAAUCGACCAAACCUUUGCCGGCUCGACUCGAGUAACUCGCCAUAGGGUUUCUGGAAUUCCAGGAAGUGCGCACCAUAUACACAAAUAUAUCAGAUCCAUUGCAACCAUAAACAAUUAUAUCUCAUAUUAGGGCAAGUGCGAUAAGGUACACUCUUGCCCGACCAAAGAAAUGAUAUAUCAUUAAAUCACAUUGGUCAAGUAUUGAAAACAAGUUUCCAAUUCAAUCAGGUAUUUAGAAGCACUCAACAAAAUGUAGUGCUUUUCAAAAAUCACGUUCAGGUCCAACUCCUUAGUUGGAGUCCAAAUUUGCGAUAAAAUAUCAUUGACAAAUGUAAAACUCUCUAGAGUUCGAAAUAUAGGAGUUUCGCUUCAAGAAAAUCAAGUAAAUGCAACUCGUUCAAAUAGUAUUCAAGAUACUUAUCAAAUCCCGAAAAUUUAUACUCGCUCAUCUAGUUUCGGUAAAAAAGCGGUUAAAACUUUAGAACUCCCAUUGGAGUCAAAAGAACGAGUAAAACGUAUUUCUAUUGAUUAUUACUUUCAUUUUCCAAGGGUACAAGGUCGGCCAAAUUCUAACUUAUAUACCUCGAUAAAAGAAGACGCAAAUAUCCUAGAUAGCUCAAGAGGUACUCGCUCUCAAGCCUUACUUAAGUCGCAAGUAUAUCUACCUAACCCUCGAGCGUAAAUUUGGGUAGCACGCCCUUUGUAUUUAUCUAUUUUCUAGCCAUUCAUGGCUUUAUUCUUUUCCUCAAUCAGUCCCAAAGUCACACACAAAAUAAUCUCAUUUCAAUAACCGUUUAAUAGGCUCAAAGUCAUACAAGUACCAAACCAAGCUAGGAACAUGUGCGGAAAUGAAGUUUGAGUCAAGAAACAAAAGACAGAUUUGACGUUGUUUUGCAUAACGCACACAACUGAGGCUAUGCUUAUCAUAUUGGGAUGUAAUCUAUACCGUUUCGAAGCUAAGACCAAGAUCUACAACUUUGAUGAAGACCACUCAGUCCAGUUAGUGGUGUAGCUAGGUCAAAAUUUCAAUGUACCAGACUAGAAUCUCACAAACAAGUUAGCUGACCGCACUAUGGUUACACGACAAUAACUCAGGCUACCAAAGUCCGAUUGAGGCGUUUUCAGGGGCGUUGGAAAGAUAAGACAUAGGGGUAAAAGUUUCAUGUUUUGGCCAAAGAUUGGUUUGAUGCGAAUCGAGGUGAAAAAAUGCAACCAACGUGAGGCAAUGUCAAAACUGUCUGCUGGACUCCACCUAGGGCAGUUUCAGGGGUAUUUUUGUCUUUUCAUGAGAUACAAUGCUCGGAUUGGGGUGCAAUUUUGUAGAAAACUAUAAAACAUUACUCUCUACAACUUUCAUGUUUUGUGCUAAGCCUAAUUAGACCUCUAUCAAGGUGAACUAAAACUAGGCAGAACAGGGCACUAAGGAUUUUCACUUCUGGAAUUUUGCUACAUUCAAGGUAUAAUUCACAUUUCUAGCUUAAAACCAUCACUACCACCUCAUAUACAAGCUUAUGUACAUCAUAUACCAUCCACACAAUAAGAAGUAGGGCUGAACAUUAUAAAAACCUACCUUACUAAUGCACCCAAAAUCAUCACAACUACUUGUAUAGCUACCAAUUUAAUCAAAACAUGAGUUGUAUAGCAACUUAAGCCCAAAAACAAAGAACCAAAGAUAAGGGACAGCCAAUAUACCUCAAUAACAAGCUUACAAAGGAUACCCUUGCAAAGUUUAGCUUCCAAGCUUCCUAAGCUCCCAAACUUGUGAUUAAUCGGUUUAGUUUUUCUUGUUUUCACUCAAAAUGUUGGAUUCAAGGUUGGAAAUUGGAAAGCUCUCUUCACUCUUCUCCCUCUCUUGCUCUCGGCUGGUAUUCUGAAAUUAUGGAGGAAAUUGGUUGGUUUUUGGUGAUAAAUAUGGUGUAAAUUAGUUAGUCAACAAUCCAAUGGAAGACCGCCACUUGUUGCUUCAAGAUUCAUUCUUAAAUUUUUUUCCUUUUUCCUUGUUUUUUUGGUCAAAUAAUUCAGCCACUCCAUGCUGAGAUUGAAGGAGAUAUUUUGUAAUAAUAUCAAGGAUAUUUUAGGGUAGGAAAGUGUUGGUCAAGUGGUGUGUCCAAUCGGUAGUGAACGAUACCCGUCGAUUCGAGCCGAUUUUCCUUAAAUCGCGUAUACUAGGGUUUUAACUUAUAAUUUACUUACUUAUUAUUAUCACUUCUACUCACACACUUAACAACACCUAAAACUCACUCUUAAUCACCAGAUUUGAUCCACACUCCGCACCGGAUAGUCACCCUACGGAUAGACGUAAAAACCCUAGUUCGCGCUUAUAACUUGAAAUUGAAAAGAGAAAACCCUUACUUCUAUAUUCAUUUGCACUUAUUGUGGGGUGAUUGGGUAGUAGGGCUAUUAUAAAGUAAUAAUUUCCAAAUAAAAGGGAAUUUUUUUAAAAAAAAUAUAUAAGGAAUUUGCAAGUCCUCACAGUUUUUCCUAAUCUCUUGGUGAAAACUGAAACUACUCUUGUUCAUGCAUGAAAUGCAGAUUUAAUCCACUUGAAUGUAUUUCUAUUCUCAUGAAUAUACAACUCAAACUCUACUCAUGUUAUUCCAUUGUUUUUACCAUUUCUCAAUGAGUAAUAACAACUAUAAACCUACUAUUGGUGAUCAAACAACAACAAGGUGUCAAGCAUACAUAAGUAAACAAGUUAAUACAAGAUACAACAAGUAUAAAUCACAUUCAAUUUAUAUCACUUGGCCAUAAGUUUCAUCUACUCCCUAGAUAUAGAACUCAGUGAUAAUGUAAUAAUCAAACUCAUAACUUCAUUAAUGGAAAACAUCUCAGUUUACAAGUACAAGAAAGAUAAAGAAAAGCUUAGCCAAGUAAUGGUGAAGCCCUCUAAAAAUCUGCUAUGUCUUAUACUAGAUUAUUACAAGAUGAAGCCUCCAAGUGUUCCUGCAAAAUUUACUAGCUAGAGAGAGUUUGCUAUCAGAAAAUCAUCUACAUAUAUCCUCCUCUGACCUCCCCAAUGUCUCUGUAUAAAAGCUGGUCCAAAAACUCCUUUUUCCUGGUCAAAUAUUCCCCCCUUUGAUUCCCAAAUUUGAAGCUUGUUUAGAUAGUCAAUAACCAAUGUUUUUGACUUGAAAAUAAGCCACCUUUCUUGCCCUUUUUGUCUUCUGAAGCAUGUGCACCGACUUCCUUUGCAACUUAUAGCUGGAAAUUAGUAUGAGCACAAGAGAAAUGGCUGAGCAAAUUGCAGAUUUUCAGCUACAAAAUGCGACUACACAAAACGCGGCAUCAACCCACGUUUUGUCAACUCGUGUUUUCAACUAUGUGAAAUUGGCCUCGCUUCAACUGUGAUUUUCUCUAUGAUAGAGGCCGAGCUAGCUUUUGUACAAAACACAAAAUUGUAGGCCUUUGAGUUAGCUUCACAAUGCUUCAGGAAUCAUCCAAAUCAGAGUGUUGUAGACUGAGAUAUGAUCAAAAUACGGUCACCUAGUCAAACCCCUGUUUCAAUUUUCGUCCAUAGAGUGCAGCUUCUGUAUUUCGACUUUUUGUUCAUGAAAACAACCGAAUUGGAUUCCUAUGUCUUCAUACGAAAUCUAGAUCUCUUUCUUAGCUUUAAAAUGGUAUAAAUAUCACCUCAAUCCAAUAUGUGUAGCUCCAGAUAUAGCCAAAAUACGAAAAUGUGUCAGAGUUGUUUUCAUUUGCAUUUCUUCAAUUUACUUCAUUUCUUCUUUACCAGUUAAAUUCAUCACCAAUUAUCCACUUUUCACCUCAGUUGACAUCCUUUGGUGAUUGAAUCAUUAAUCCUGCAUGAAAAUGAAUUUUUUACCAUUAAGAUUAAUAGAAAUGCAAUGUUGGCCACUUUAACUUUAAAAUGUAUAUUUUUACCAAAACCCUAACUAUUUUAGUUAUAAACUUGAUUAAAUUACUGAAAUUUUACUAAUAAAUACACUUAAAAACAUGUAAAAUAUACUCUCAUCAAUGUUGCUCGCAUUAGAGCCACUUCAAUGUCAUUGAGCAUUCAUUUCAGUAUCAAGAGACACUCAUUUCACUGUCAUUGUACAUUCAUUUCAAUAUCAUUGUACAUUCUGCCAAUUCACCUCCUUAUGUCUUUCAAAACAGUAAACAAUUCCCUACAUUCAAUAAUCAGUUCAAUAAUCUCCCAACCUCAUGGUAAUACUCGAGUAUACUGAAAAAGUUACCCAAAUCUUUUGUCUUAUCUGACCAAGCUCUUUGCUAGCUCGAAUAGUCCGUUGAACAAAGGAUUUUGGGAUCCAGUUCAGCCGAUGUAGUAAAGUACACAUACAGCUUAUAUUCAUGCACAUUUACAGUAAUAUUUAGUCAAUUAUCAACCUUAAUGCUUAACUAAGCUGAGUGCGAUAAAAUACACUUUCGACUUAGAAGGCGAGGGACAAUUAAGAUACACUUUAUAAUGAAUCAUUUAGUAAUAAUUCAUGAUAAGUACAUUUGUCACAUAAUUUCACUUAGAUACACAUAAACAGUUAAACACAUAAAUUCGAAAAACACUCACCAAUUAUUCAAAUAAUUUACUCUUGAGCCUCGGAUUUGUUUCCUGGCUCGCGGCUAUUUCCUGAGAUAAAUAUAUAAUUCCAUGGUAAAUUUACAAUUUGUAGAUGUUCACCUAUUAUUUAAAUUAUUCGAAUUAGGUUUGACUUUAAAAUAUAAAAUAUAACAUAUUCAAUAUUUAUUCUACCUUAUUGUUUAAACUAUUAAAAUCAAGUUUGAUCUUAAAAUACAAAAUAUACGCAAUAUUUAUUCCCCAAUUUAUUUCAAGACUUAUUGACUUUAUUAUCUUAAAUCAAGAAAUAUACAUACUCUCCAAAUUAAUAAUUUAAAAAAUGUUUACAUUAGGAUUAAAUUAUUUUCUACUCAAGAUUCUAAGUUUAAAGCUUAGGAAUAUUCCAUUGGUUCCCUUUUUUAAAUUAGUUAAACUCUAAGUUAUUUGUAAAUUAAAUUUUAUUCCACUACACUCGUCCCUCAAAUUUAUAGAUUUUAACAUAUGUGUAAAGACAAUAUUAAGUGAUUAGAAGCCAAUUUAGGUAUAUAACUAUCAUGAGUUUUCCUCUCAUUUGCUUUAAUUUAACUCUACUCGUGGAACUAGAUAUAGUCGUUAAAUCUCAGACCAACCGUAGCUACCAUUUAUGAAAGCUUACAAGGUUGGAAAUUAGAAGAAAUGCUGGUUAAAAGUUGGUUUCUCACGGCCAGCAUCUUAGCAAAGUACAUUCGGGAACAAAAGGAAAGGCAACGAGAAAGGCAGCUUUGCCAUCUUCUGGUAUUCUGAUCAUAACUGGAGCUAUGGUUAUCGGAUUGAGGUGAAUUUUAUAGCGUUUCGAAGCUAAGACAUAGAACUACAUUUCUUAUGGAGACAUCGACACUCAGUUCUCAGUUCUCGCAUUUUCAAGGUAAAAACUGUACGGUCAGAAGCACCUUCUGUUUCACUCUCUCGGCUGAAGCUAAAAGAAUUUCAGCAUGGCUUAGCAGCUGCAUUUUUCCCUUUUCAUUCCUCCUCAGUUUUCUGUUCUAGAUUAUGUAAAAAGCAUAUUGAUUCAUCUUCAAGUUAACUUAAGCAAAACGGGGAAGUUUAUGCUCAAAACUCAAAAGGAUAGCUGACUAAAAUUCAGCUCUGCGCAAGGCUGCAAAACUGAUGUACCGCAGCUUGCCUCAGAGUUCUUUCACGUAUGGUUCUCUCCAUUUCACACUCAUUAACCUACGACUGACCCCUUAAACUGAAGAAGGAAACAAAUAAUCUGUUGCAUGCAUCCCAUAACGUUAUUAACCCAAGAAAUUUUGACAUCAGUUGCAAGUUCCAGCUCAACACUCAGUUUCUGCAAUUUUUCUGAGAUUUCACAGUUAUUGCCCGGCAUUUACUUCAGCUACAAGCUCUUCUCACUCUAGUUAUCAACCCUGCUCUAAGUUCUCAGGUAAGACAAGAAAAGAGCAUAUAGUUUGAGGUUCUAGCGGAAUAUUUCUCCCUACUUUCGGUUAACAAGCUGCAUGAUCAGUUUUUUUUUCCUCGGAUGGAGCUGAAAGGUAACCACUCCCUAAACAAGUUUUCCCUUCAAUCAAACUGAAUUUUUCUUAGCUACAUUCCAGCAUUCCACAGUAAUAUCCAAGUGUACUAGUUGUUUAGAAGGUUAUUGCUGUCACGUACCUCGUUCCUUCCUCCUAACGUUUGAAAAAAAAUGCAGAUCGCACGUUUGGUUUCCUGCUCCUAGCUUCGUCCCUCUAACUAUUGCACCAGCUCUCCCUUUUUUUCUCACGUUUGGCUCGCGGUGUUGAGGCUACCAGCUGAAGAAAUGAAGCGAGCCAGUGCCUCUCUCUCACUCUCACUGUCUCGGUUGCAGACUGGAGGCAAAGAGAAACCAGAAAUGUUUUCUUUUCCUCUCACUCGAUUAUGUAUGAGCUGAAUGGGUGUCCAAAUCACUCUCUCAGCUUUGCUCCUAGUGCGUGGUUGGUAAGAAAAGAAAAGAAAUGUUUUUUCU